rnacentral:rRNA from 1 species
UAGGGAAUCUUCGGCAAUGGACGAAAGUCUGACCGAGCACCGCCGCGUGAGUGAAGAAGGUUUUCGGAUCGUAAAACUCUGUUGUUAGAGAAGAACAAGGACGUUAGUAACUGAACGUCCCCUGACGGUAUCUAACCAGAAAGCCACGGCUAACUACGUGCCAGCAGCCGCGGUAAUACGUAGGUGGCAAGCGUUGUCCGGAUUUAUUGGGCGUAAAGCGAGCGCAGGCGGUUUCUUAAGUCUGAUGUGAAAGCCCCCGGCUCAACCGGGGAGGGUCAUUGGAAACUGGGAGACUUGAGUGCAGAAGAGGAGAGUGGAAUUCCAUGUGUAGCGGUGAAAUGCGUAGAUAUAUGGAGGAACACCAGUGGCGAAGGCGGCUCUCUGGUCUGUAACUGACGCUGAGGCGCGAAAGCGUGGGGAGCAAACAGG